GAUUAUGGCUCACGGAUGAACGCUAGCGGCAGGCUUAACACAUGCAAGUCGAGGGGCAGCGCGAGUAGCAAUACUUGGCGGCGACCGGCGCAAGGGUGCGUAACGCGUGAGCAACAUGCCCGUAUCAGGGGAGUAAUCCAGGGAAACUUGGUCUAAUACCCCAUAGUAAUUUUGUAAGGCAUCUUAUAAGAUUUAAAGCUUUGGUGGAUACGGAUUGGCUCGCGUGACAUUAGCUGGAUGGUAAGGUAACGGCUUACCAUGGCUAUGAUGUCUAGGGGUUCUGAGAGGAAGGUCCCCACACUGGAACUGAGACACGGUCCAGACUCCUACGGGAGGCAGCAGUGAGGAAUAUUGGACAAUGGAUGGAAAUCUGAUCCAGCCAUGCCGCGUAGAAGGAAGAAGGUCCUAUGGAUUGUAAACUUCUUUUGUACGGGAGCAAUAAGGCCUACGAGUAGGUUGAUGAGAGUACCAUACGAAUAAGCACCGGCUAACUCCGUGCCAGCCGCGGC
rnacentral:rRNA from 1 species